rnacentral:lncRNA from 10 species
CCAGUUCAGAGGUUCACUUUGCCAAGGUUGAAGCCAUGCCCGGGAAAAAGAGGCAGAAAACACAGUAGGUGAGUCUGGGGACCCAAGAUCUUAUUUUCCUUUCUGUCACCCCCGCUUGGUUUUGGAUUCCGUGACAGCUGGACCCGGCUUCUGCGUGGGAAGAGUGUAUCACAGCCAUUGGGAACUUUCUUCACCCAUCAAAGCCUCAGGGCUGAAGCAUCCUGAACAAGAACUCAGGAGAGUGAAAGAAACAGUUACCUGUCGGCUGCAGCUGGUACCAGCUCCCCACCCCGUACAGAGACCGAAGCGUCCUCUCUCUCCCCAUCACCCAGCACCAGACUCUGCCCCGCGACCUCAGCCUGCACCUGCUUCCUGGCUCCAUCCAGCCUUCCAGCCUCACUAGAUCAUCAUGGGCCACUGGCCAACACACAGGGCAGUGCCGAGCCCAGGCCGUGGUCACACAUGGCUGGGUUAGUAGCUGAAAACAUUGUUUUUCACUGGCCUCACAGUAAUGGCACCUGCCCCCAUUUUCUGUGAUUGAAUUUUUGGAUCCUGCUACCAGGUUAUGAUAGAUUUUAUGGUAUGUCUCAAGAUAUUGAGAUAAAGGUAAUAAAACAGCUAUAAAGUCCUGGCUCAAGAAGUGUUACAAACCCAAGCAGGGUAAAUACAAGAAAAC